rnacentral:rRNA from 1 species
UACAGAGGGUGCAAACGUUGUUCGGAAUUACUGGGCGUAAAGCGCGUGUAGGCAGCUUGGCAAGUCGGGUGUGAAAGCCCUGGGCUCAACCUAGGAAGUGCACUCGAAACUGCUUCGCUUGAGUAUCGGAGAGGAAAGCGGAAUUCUCGGUGUAGAGGUGAAAUUCGUAGAUAUCGAGAGGAACACCAGUGGCGAAGGCGGCUUUCUGGACGAUCACUGACGCUGAGACGCGAAAGCGUGGGGGAGCAAACAGG